GCUCAGGAUGAACGCUGGCGGCGUGCUUAACACAUGCAAGUCGAACGAAGAUAUUUAAAAUGAGAGCUUCGGCAGGAUUUCUAUCUAUCUUAGUGGCGGACGGGUGAGUAACGUGUGGGCAACCUGCCCUGUACUGGGGAAUAAUCAUUGGAAACGAUGACUAAUACCGCAUGUGGUCCUCGGAAGGCAUCUUUUGAGGAAGAAAGGAUUUAUUCGGUACAGGAUGGGCCCGCAUCUGAUUAGCUAGUUGGUGAGAUAACAGCCCACCAAGGCGACGAUCAGUAGCCGACCUGAGAGGGUGAUCGGCCACAUUGGGACUGAGACACGGCCCAAACUCCUACGGGAGGCAGCAGUA
rnacentral:rRNA from 1 species